rnacentral:rRNA from 1 species
GACGAACGCUGGCGGCGUGCCUAAUACAUGCAAGUCGAACGAGAGCGACCGGUGCUUGCACUGGUCAAUCUAGUGGCGAACGGGUGAGUAACACGUGGGUAACCUGCCCAUCAGAGGGGGAUAACAUUCGGAAACGGAUGCUAAAACCGCAUAGGUUCUUUAGUCGCAUGACUGAAGAAGGAAAAGAGGCUUCGGCUUCUGCUGAUGGAUGGACCCGCGGUGCAUUAGCUAGUUGGUGAGGUAACGGCUCACCAAGGCGAUGAUGCAUAGCCGACCUGAGAGGGUGAUCGGCCACAUUGGGACUGAGACACGGCCCAAACUCCUACGGGAGGCAGCAGUAGGGAAUCUUCCGCAAUGGACGCAAGUCUGACGGAGCAACGCCGCGUGAGUGAAGAAGGAUUUUGGUUCGUAAAACUCUGUUGUUAGAGAAGAACAGCGCAUAGAGUAACUGUUAUGCGUGUGACGGAUCUAACCAGAAAGCC